UCCACUAUGGAGAUGAUGUCUCGGCUGCCUCCUAGAUGUUCUUAUUCUGUGAAAAGUCCACUCCCUAAAUAAAAUCCACUCCCCAAAGCCUCCAGGGAUCCUGUGACUACCCACUGCAGCAAGCAGACCCCGGCUUCGACACCGUCAGGGAGUUUGGCUGGCUGGGUCCUUGGGCUGGCCGAGACCCGCAUCAUACUGAAUAGGAUUCCCAUUCUCUACACUUCAAUAAGAAUCCCGUCAGCCGAUGAAGAACCCAGUCCACUCAUUUUUCCAAGGGUCUCAAAUGCGGAUUGUACCUUCAAUAUGUCACCAACGGCAGUUAGAUAAGAGGAAGUUGAACAAACAGUGCACGCCGAUCCUGCCCAAGUGGACUUGGUUAACAGUAUUUUUUUGUUGCCAGAUUAAAGGUGAAAGUAACACUAUGAGUCAUCUUAAUAUAUAAUUUUAUCUACCUGGACCAAAGACCGUGACUAUAAUGUGGCAUUGGGCUUCAGGUUCACCACUGUAUAGAAUUAUGACCAUAAUAAAAGUGCCUCUUAAAAACUUCA